UAAGGAAUAUUGGUCAAUGGAGGCAACUCUGAACCAGCCAUGCCGCGUGCAGGAUGAAGGCCCUAUGGGUCGUAAACUGCUUUUAUACCAGAGAAAACCUCAGUACGUGUACUGAGCUGAUAGUAUGGUAAGAAUAAGCAUCGGCUAACUUCGUGCCAGCAGCCGCGGUAAGACGAAGGAUGCAAGCGUUAUCCGGAUUCAUUGGGUUUAAAGGGUGCGUAGGCGGACUGGUAAGUCAGUGGUGAAAUCUCUUUGCUUAACAAAGAAACUGCCAUUGAUACUGCUAGUCUAGAGUAUAGAUGACGUUGGCGGAAUAUGACAUGUAGUGGUGAAAUACUUAGAUAUGUCAUAGAACACCGAUUGCGAAGGCAGCUAACGAAACUAUAACUGACGCUGAGGCACGAAAGUGCGGGGAUCAAACAGG
rnacentral:rRNA from 1 species